GCACUACCGGGCCGGAAUCUCUCCGAGGCGCUUCUGUUGGGUGUUCAUUAAGGGAGUCCACAGUGCUGAUCCACAAAGCUAACUGGGCUGAUUCUUACCUGUCACAGGAAGUGGACUAUCUGGGUCUCCAUGAAAGAUGCUGUGAUUUUGAAACCAGGUCACCUGGAGCUGGGGGCUGCCUCAGCUCUCUCAGGAUUCUGGAGACAUUGAAUGUGGUGGUGAAGGAGACAGUGGUGGUCAAUGUUAUUUGAGCAGGGUCAACAGGCCCCAGAGCUUCCUGAGUUCACGAUGCAGAAGGCCGCUUACUAUGACAACCCAGGACUCUUUGGAGGCUAUGGCUAUAGCAAAGCCACUGACACUUAUGGCUACAGCAACCCCCAUCAGCCUUACCCACCCCCUGCUGCUGCCAACUCCCUGGACACUGAUUACCCAGGUUCUGCCUGCUCCAUCCAGAGCUCUGCACCUCUUCGAGCCCCACCCCACAAAGGGGCUGAACUCAAUGGAAGCUGCAUGAGACCUGGCACUGGGAACAGCCAAGGUGGAGGUGGUGGCAGCCAGCCUCCUGGGCUGAACUCAGAGCAGCAGCCGCCACAGCCCCCUCCUCCACCACCUACCCUACCCCCCUCCUCACCUACCAACCCUGGAGGUGGAGUGCAAGUCAAGAAGGCCAAGGGUGGGCCCAAUGCUUCUGGCUCUUCAACUACCAUCAGUAAGCAGAUCUUCCCAUGGAUGAAAGAGUCCCGACAGAACUCCAAGCAGAAGAACAGCUGUGCCACUGCAGGAGAGAGCUGCGAGGACAAGAGCCCACCAGGCCCCGCGUCCAAACGGGUGCGCACGGCUUACACGAGCGCACAGCUGGUGGAGUUGGAGAAAGAAUUCCACUUUAACCGCUACUUGUGUCGGCCGCGCCGGGUGGAGAUGGCCAACUUGCUGAACCUCACCGAGCGCCAGAUCAAGAUCUGGUUCCAGAACCGGCGCAUGAAGUACAAGAAGGACCAGAAGGCCAAAGGCAUCCUGCACUCGCCCGCCGGUCAGUCCCCCGAGCGCAGCCCGCCGCUCGGAGGCGCCGCGGGCCACGUGGCCUACUCGGGCCAGCUGCAGCCGGUGCCCGGCCUGGCCUACGAUGCGCCUUCGCCGCCCGCCUUCGCCAAAUCUCAGCCCAACAUGUACGGCCUGGCCGCCUACACGGCGCCGCUCAGCAGCUGCCUACCGCAGCAGAAGCGCUACGCGGCGCCCGAGUUUGAGCCCCACCCCAUGGCGAGCAACGGCGGCGGCUUUCCCAGCGCCAAUCUGCAGGGCAGUCCGGUAUACGUGGGGAGCAACUUCGUCGACUCCAUGGCACCCGCGUCCGGGCCUGUUUUCAACCUGGGCCACCUCUCGCACCCGUCUUCGGCCAGCGUGGACUACAGUUGCGCGGCACAGAUUCCCGGCAAUCACCACCAUGGACCCUGCGACCCUCAUCCUACCUACACAGAUCUCUCGGCCCACCACUCCUCUCAGGGACGCCUACCCGAGGCCCCCAAACUGACGCACCUGUAGCAGCCGCCAUCGGCCAGAACUCGCGGCGAAAUUACCUCUUUUGCUUUGGUGGCGGGGUGGCGGGCGGGGCAGCUCAGUGACACCCCCCCACCCCCUCUGGCCCCGUCGCCGCCUCCCGGGCCUCUGGCCAAGAGCGGCCCAGGCGCAGGCGACUGGGCCUCUCCCCUCCAGGCGCGCUGUCCUUUGGGUGACUCGCCAAAAAUCAGCCGCAAAGAUCCGACUCUGUAAACCUGACAGUGCCAUAUACAGCGGACCGAGGGACUCUAAUCUGGUAAUGGUGUCCCGAAGCAAAGUCGGCCCACGCAUCUCUAUUUGAUUUGACAAAUAAUGCAACUCCUGCUACAUCCCUGGUGACACAAGGUCGGCGGUGGCGCUGCACGAAGGCCACCUGGCCCGCGGCAGGGCGUGGUGUUCAGAGCUCGAGGGCUGCACUGGGGUGGGCGCGUUCCGUCUCCACCCGGAGUCCCUUCGGAAGACAAACGCGGUUCCUCCUCCUCUGGAGCGAGUCUGGGCCAGCUGGGAUCCGACCAGAAACCGCAAGCGAGGAGACGCGAGCGCGCCGGGUGAGCGCCAACCGAGGGCGCGACCCGAUGCCCUGCCCGCCCAACCGAACAGCCAGCCAGGCCUAGGCUCAGCUGUGCGAGGCCCCAGGGAAGCAUCCGUGAGUCUUCUCCUCACCCAUGGGCCUGUGCGGCUGCCCGACAUCACGGUCCUCGCCGGGUCUGGGUGCCUAGGCCCUCGAAGUACUCCGCCUCCUCACCCACGGUGAUUCUGUUUCCCUUACCGCCAACCCACAACCGCGCCCCCAUCCUCUCAAGUGACACCUUUAAAACUCUGCUCUACUCCAGAAAGGGACAAAUCCAUCUCUGAAGGCAAGAGCAGAAAGAUCCAAUGGGUCAGCUGUUCGGGCAGACGCGUGUUUAUUUAAGACUUAAAAAAAAUGCAUUAAAAAUUUUAUUUAAGAGCUUCAAAUUCAGGGAAGAGUUGGAACUAGUUUGAUUCUCUUUACCUGCAAGGGUACUUUGCAUGGGAGGAAGCAGAAUAAGACAGCUGCUGAACUUGGAAUUAAACUCGAAUGUUAUUUUAAAUAACAAUAAAAAUGUACUCAAAACACUAA